AAGGCGGGAUAACUGUAAAUGGAAGUGGAUAGUAUUGGCUAAUUCAGAAUUUCAACGAAUGAGAUUGUUGUUAAAGUAUGACAAUCAAAAACUCACUCAACGUUUGAAGUUGUCUAUCAAGUGUAACUUCCACCAAUCUUUUCACAGUUAGUGAUCCCUACCGCUUUGAGGUUCCGCCUCAUAGACUUUCUUUUGAAAUAGCAGCAGCGAAGAAACUCUAUUAGACCAAAGAAGAAGCGAUGAAACGAAUUGUUUGUUAUUUCUGACAAUGGAAGAUCAUAUCACGAUCACAAAUACCACAAACAUUCCGUCCGUAGCCUACUUCAAUCUCCAGAUGUGUUUUUGUGCCCUUUCUGUCAUCCACGACUUUAUUCUUCACGCUCGUAUAUACGAGCAAAUGAACACUUGCGAGAUCAGCGCAGAACAGCAGUUUCCUACGGAGGUACGUGUAUCCCACUUUUCCCAUUAACUCAGGCUGAGUAUGGGUGGUAAAUAUUCAGUGUUUCCUUUUUGUUUUGUUAACAAUUUAUCCCAUAAUUUUAUGUGGCCAUCUCCUAUGGUCUGGUUUAGUGGGUGCCAAAUGACCUGUGCCUUGUUAGAAUAAUUUACAGAUAUUGGUACUUGUUCUGAGUGUACCAUUGCUGAGUGCCGGUGCGGGUACCCUGCUUUUGGAGACGUUACUUUUUGGGAUGCUUGGACAAUCAAAGGUGACACCUCACAUCCAACCAGGGGAAAACAGUUUAAAUAAGCUUGGAAUUUUACAUUUUUUAAUGUUUAAAUAAGUUCAUAUAGUGUUACUUUAAAUACACCAGUGUGUGUUUUGGUGUAUACAGGUAAACUUUUACUGGCACUCUUUUUUUUCUGUUAAAUGAAUAACAUCAAUAUUUUAAUAUCUAAAAGUCAGGACCAAGAAGAUCAUGGCAGCAGUGAACUCGUUGAGGAAUAUACUGAUACAGCCACACCAAGGUGUUAAUGUAGAACUUAGUCUACCACUGUGGUUUGAUACUUGGUUCAACUUGAGUAAAAACCUUAAAAUUGAACAUGGUAUGAAGGAUUGUCAUAAGCUUUUUGACCCGUUGUCACAUGGGGAGUGUUAGAUUGGUUAUUUUGAUGGUUAGAAUAAAAAUAUCUUCAAAG